GAUGAACGCUGGCGGCGUGCCUAAUACAUGCAAGUCGAGCGAACAGACGAGGAGCUUGCUCCUCUGACGUUAGCGGCGGACGGGUGAGUAACACGUGGAUAACCUACCUAUAAGACUGGGAUAACUUCGGGAAACCGGAGCUAAUACCGGAUAAUAUAUUGAACCGCAUGGUUCAAUAGUGAAAGACGGUUUUGCUGUCACUUAUAGAUGGAUCCGCGCCGCAUUAGCUAGUUGGUAAGGUAACGGCUUACCAAGGCAACGAUGCGUAGCCGACCUGAGAGGGUGAUAGGCCACACUGGAACUGAACCACGGUCCAGACUCCUACGGGAGGCAGCAGUAGGGAAUCUUCCGCAAUGGGCGAAAGCCUGACGGAGCAACGCCGCGUGAGUGAUGAAGGUCUUCGGAUCGUAAAACUCUGUUAUUAGGGAAGAACAAAUGUGUAAGUAACUAUGCACGUCUUGACGGUACCUAAUCAGAAAGCCACGGCUAACUACGU
rnacentral:rRNA from 1 species